AUUCCAGCUCCAAUAGCGUAUAUUAAAGUUGUUGCAGUUAAAAAGCUCGUAGUUGGAUUUCUGGCGUGAGGUGCUUGACCCGCCGCGGUACGCGUGUGAGUGUCGGUGUGCCUCGGCCAUCCUUCUAGAAAUUGGCUCUGCCCUUCAUUGGGUUGGGGUCAGGAUCUAGAUCUUUUACUUUGAAAAAAUUAGAGUGUUUAAAGCAAGCGUUGCGUGAAUACAUUAGCAUGGAAUAAUAACUUAGGACUUCGGUUCUAUUUUGUUGGUUUCUAGGACUGAAGUAAUGAUUGAUAGGGAUAGUUGGGGGUGCUAGUAUUCAGCGGCCAGAGGUGAAAUUCUUGGAUUCGCUGAAGACUAACUUAUGCGAAAGCAUUCACCAAGGAUGUCUUCAUCA
rnacentral:rRNA from 1 species